rnacentral:rRNA from 1 species
UUACCAGACUCCUACGGGAGGCAGCAGUGGGGGAUAUUGCACAAUGGGGGAAACCCUGAUGCAGCGACGCCGCGUGUGGGAAGACGGUCCUCUGGAUUGUAAACCACUGUCCCCAGGGACGAAAAUGACGGUACCUGAGGAGGAAGCCACGGCUAACUACGUGCCAGCAGCCGCGGUAAUACGUAGGUGGCGAGCGUUGUCCGGAUUUACUGGGCGUAAAGGGAGCGUAGGCGGACUUUUAAGUGAGAUGUGAAAUACUCGGGCUCAACUUGAGUGCUGCAUUUCAAACUGGAAGUCUAGAGUGCAGGAGAGGAGAAUGGAAUUCCUAGUGUAGCGGUGAAAUGCGUAGAGAUUAGGAAGAACACCAGUGGCGAAGGCGAUUCUCUGGACUGUAACUGACGCUGAGGCUCGAAAGCGUGGGGAGCAAACAGGAUUAGAUACCCGAGUA